rnacentral:rRNA from 1 species
CAGUCUGCAUGGAGCCGACCUUGAAAUACCACCCUUUAAUGUUUGAUGUUCUAACGUUGACCCGUAAUCCGGGUUGCGGACAGUGUCUGGUGGGGAGUUUGACUGGGGCGGUCUCCUCCUAAAGAGUAACGGAGGAGCACGAAGGUUGGCUAAUCCUGGUCGGACAUCAGGAGGUUAGUGCAAUGGCAUAAGCCAGCUUGACUGCGAGCGUGACGGCGCGAGCAGGUGCGAAAGCAGGUCAUAGUGAUCCGGUGGUUCUGAAUGGAAGGGCCAUCGCUCAACGGAUAAAAGGUACUCCGGGGAUAACAGGCUGAUACCGCCCAAGAGUUCAUAUCGACGGCGGUGUUUGGCACCUCGAUGUCGGCUCAUCACAUCCUGGGGCUGAAGUA